GUUUAAAUUCGAAUUUCAAUGAAAAUCGUAAAAAUCAUAACAUUUCAAAACAUACUUAAUCAAAUUUAGCUGAGAAUGAUUUUUCGUUAUAAAUCAUUGCGUUCAUACGAAAAGGCAUGCAAAUAUAAUAUAGGAUAUUAUAUAUCCCAUCUUUUGAACUUCCUACUAAAGGUAGCACACAAAUACACACACAUCAAUCAUCAAUAUCAGCUCUUUUUUUUUUGAAUAAUCGUUACACAGAAAUGCCUAUUUAAAUUAAUUUAUUUGACGAUGAUAUUAUUAUGAAUGUGAGAUACACUAAACAAAUAUAACGAAUCUCAUUUAACUUUUUCGUUUGGAAUUAAAUUCAAUGUUAGUUUUAAAGAAACUCAGAAC